AUAUCAUAUGCAAUUGAAUAUUCACUUAACUUCACUUUUUUAACACUAACUUUUUUUUUCUAACGGUUAAACAGAAGUAAUUGUACUCUUGUGUGCAAAUUACAUUUGAAACAUAAAAAAUGUCACCAUGGCAGUUCAAUAUUUACAGAAUUUUUAAAUAAAAUAACAAAAAAUGGCAAGUAACAGUCAUAUUAACAAGUGCAGGUGUAACCCACAUAAAAUGGGGAUGCCUCUUUAAGAAACGGAGGUUAGGGAAGCUAGGUGGUCUGCCUAGCCAAUAGGAAGUUUAGUUUCCAGUGUGUUUAAACCGAUCAGAAUUCAGAGUGCCGCUGCAAGUCCCGCCCUUCUUUCCUGUGUGUGUGAGCGGAAGAGAUCGGCCAUAAGAAGAGAACCGUUAAGCUGAGCAGCGUGAGAGUCUGUGUUAAAACGGUUAUAGUACCUGAUACGAACUCUAAACAAACCCUUUCCUAGAUAUAGUGGUUGGUUAUCAUCCGACUUCAAAGCUGGAAGUUUUCAAAUGAGAAGAAAAAAAAAAAGACUUUAGUUUUUCGGCCGAGCACCGUUAGAGCUAAAGGCUACUGGUUUCAUUUCGUUCUCCCUUCAGUUGAAGUGCCCCACGGGUUCUGACUGAGAUCCACCAAAUUGUUGUCCCAAGCGUGUCGCAUUGAGAUCGGUCAGGUUUUUUUUUAAUUUUAUUUUAUGCUGGAUUGUUCCUGAGGUGGAUUCCUCCUGUGACUUCGAUGGCCAGCCUUCCCACCUGGACUUAAAAAGAACUGGAUUCAUUCUUUUCCAUUUGGAGUCCUGCUGCACCCCGCGGUGUGGUAGGCCUGUAUCACUCACAUCUUCACACAGUUGGUUAUGAGUGAGACCACUGACUGACAUUUUUCAUUCUUAUUGUUUAAUCCUGGAAUUUCUGACCUUACCUUUUGGAACUUUAUAACAAACUGCUGUGUAGGAAAUUCUCCUCAUGUGAACGGUGUUGAGUUGAACCUAAUUGGAACUGAAAUUGAUUAAUCUGUUGCUUAUUACUAUCUAGAAUUCAGAUUACCAGGUUGCACCCAAAAGAUGUAAAACUGAGAACUAGCACUUAGCCAAGUAUUUUUAUUAUUUCUUGUAUUUCAUUGUAUGUAAUUUUAUUCUCAUAAUUGUGUGUCUCGUACAACUGUUUGUCAAUUUUAUGGUUUAUGUCACUAAAGCAGUUCUUUAAAUUCA